AUCCAGCUCCCUGCCUUCACUAGCAGGACCAAGUACUGAUUUUGCCCCAGAUCCCUAGGUGGCCUCCUGAAGGACUGAACUUGCAACCUUGGGUCUAGCAGGCCAAUGUACAAACCACUGAGCCAUCUCUCCCCACCCCCUGG